GGUGCGUUCGUAUAUCGGUCAAUACUCCGGAUUGUCGAUCCGGCAAGAGGGGUUCGAUUCCCCUACGCACCGCCA
rnacentral:tRNA from 7 species